rnacentral:rRNA from 1 species
AUACGGAGGAUCCGAGCGUUAUCCGGAUUUAUUGGGUUUAAAGGGUGCGCAGGCGGGAGAUUAAGUCGGCGGUGAAAUUUUGCAGCUCAACUGUAAAAGUGCCUUCGAAACUGGUUUCCUUGAGUGUAGAUGAAGUAGGCGGAAUUUGGGGUGUAGCGGUGAAAUGCAUAGAUAUCACGAGGAACUCCGAUUGCGCAGGCAGCUUACUAAACUACUACUGACGCUCAGGCACGAAGGCGUGGGGAUCAAACAGGAUUAGAUACCCUGGUAGUCCACGCAGUAAACGAUGAUUACUAGCUGUUUGCGAUACAAUGUAAGCGGCCGAGCGAAAGCGUUAAGUAAUCCACCUGGGGAGUACGUUCGCAAGAAUGAAACUCAAAGGAAUUGACGGGG